UGAAAUCCCUCUUUAAUAUAGUCUUUGCUUUUCAAAGAACCUAUUGGAUUUCCCUUGUGCAAGGGUUUAAUAACAAUAAGAGUGAUGGUUAGGAUUACAAAAAAUGCCUUUUCUUCCCUCAAAGCAUCUCUUCCCGAUGGCAGAUAUCAGGAAAUAAUCAUUGCACCUAAUGGCAGAGAACAGCACAAAAUGGUGGAAGAAUGACUGAUGAGAGGCAACAGGCGUGUCAUUUCAGGACUUCGGGUUGCAGUUCAGCCUGAGUUUCUGUCUGACCUUGGACAAACCCAGGUCCUUUGGUUUUCAGCUUUAGAGAAGAACAAAAAAUCCCAGAGACUCCAAACUGUGGAGAAGACAGCUGCCUG